UAAAAGGUGUUUUAAACUUUUCAUAGCGCGCCGAACACCAAAAUAGGGGCGGCAAAAGACACAAAAAAAUCUCUCUACUUUUUCCCCUCAAUCUCCGUCAGCUAGAAUCCCAAUUUCCCUUUCCAUUUUCGACUAACCUAGCUGCAAAUCCACUGGAUUUCCACAUAUUCGACCACAGAUUCAGGGUUGGUUGCUACACGACAGGAAAUCAUCCAUAGAUCCGACCCCCUUUCACCUUCUUCCACUGGAUUUUCUGUCUGGGAAAGGCAACAACUCUCCUCCUCUGUUGCAAUCAAUCGUUGGUCUCCAUCUUCUCGCAUUUCCAUAGCAAAAUGCCAAAGCCCUUUGCUUGUUAGCUUCUCAUUUCCACUACAAGCUUAACCCUUUUCCUGCUGGGAAAUUUUUGGGCCAACUUGCCUCUUCCCCCUCCUCCACUCUCCCUUCCCGAUUCCCAAACCCUCUUCCUAUCCAAAUCCCGACGCUUGGUGACUGGCGUCCUAUACACGACUUGGUUCAUCCACAAGAGUUGAUCACGAGUUGGAUUUUAGUCACGUGUAAAGCUCAUCCACAUAUUCAUUGCCCUAGCAGCCUCCUCCACUGGAUUUCCCUGUUUAGAGAGCUCUUUUAUGCACCAUAGGUACCUCUAGAUGUCUUUAUCUAUCUUUCCCCCUUCACCCUCGUUGCUUUCCAAAAAUUGUGCAAUGGGACUUGUAGAAUAUGCAGUCACCAUAAAUUUUUGGCAUGUCCUUUGUUAAAUAUGUUUAUAUCUCUGCCUUUUGUGUACUAGGUGCUCUAUGCUGUGGGUAUUAGUCCAUGGCCUUCCAACAAAUUAAGUUUGCCCCAAUUAUUUCCGUAUGCAAUACCAGCUCCUGAAGUUAGUCUUAGUUAGUAGGGUUCCUUUGACAAGGUUGUACUAUAUAUAGUUUGGAGAAGUUAUGAUAUCUUUGGAAAAAUACAGCACGUGUUUUGUGUUUGCCAGUCGGCCAACGCCAAACUUGUACUAGCUAGUUAGAUUCAUUUCGAUUAUACAGUACUUGAUUUAUAUUAUUCUCUUCAUCUGUACUUAGUACUCCUGAAGGUAAUUCAUGGAGGUUGUCUGCUUGAUCUAGGGUUAAUGUGUUAUGAAUUAUCUCUAUAAACUGGAUAUGGUCAGACUUAACAGUGUUUGGAGUAGUUUGUUUAAUGUUUGUCGUACGUAUUGAGGUGCCUUGACAUUAUGUUGCACCUAAAGUUCAUAUUAAUCGGCUAAAAUGCGACGUACUUGUUUUGAUUCAAUGUUUUCUUUUAGUAUGAGUUGAUGCUGGAUGCUUUCAUUCUUAUACUGAAUGUUCUUUUAAUAUGGAGUUGACUUAGGUGUUGUCGUCUUACUUUAAAGGCUGCAGCUAGUAUUUUUUGCAUUUAUCAUUGACAUUUGUUUCUAUAGUCCAUAUUGAUUAAGGCCUCUUGCAUAUAGUCACUAAGAACCAAAUGACUUUUCACUUGGUUCCUAGUGCUUCCAUUAAAGAAUAAUGCCUCACUCACUAGUAUUCACAUCUAGUAAAUAGAGAUUUCUUAAAUUCCUAUCCAAAUAGUUAUUGUUUCUUGCUUCUUUUUUUUAUAAGUAAAAUACUAUAAACGAUGUUGCACCAGCUGGGAAACUUUUCUUGCUUCUUGAUCAUGAAGUGUUGGGAUAUAGUUAGCAUGGAUAUUUUUGUUGAAGUUCUAUGGAUUUUUUCCAGGGUCUGCCUCUUUCUCUUUAUUUUCUUCAUCUUUAUUAGAUAAAGUUUCUAAAAUGCAAAUUUUUCUAAGAAUAAUAUCUUUUUUUGUGAAAUAUCCCAAGUUUUGAUAAUGAUAAACCUUAUUCUAAUAUUUUCUUCUCUUUGGGUUAGGAUUCAUUGCUAUAGCUGUAGGGAUCUCUAGUUUUGUUUUCUUUUGAAUUUAAGAUUUGGCAGAGUAUUAUACUACCACAUAUUAUGCACUACUUGUUUGUCUAUUUUUUAAUGUUGUUUGAUUGAAUAUUGCUACUGAAUGGAUUUUGCAACUCACUUUAAGUUCAGUGUUGAACAGAUAUUGCCUCAUUAGCAACUUGGUUCACUUCAUUGGACACAUACUUUAAAUAUUCUGAGGUAUUUGUUGCUGAACAGAAGUUUACCUUGGCCUGUUGCUGGUAAACAAAAUGCGCAGCUUGAGGCACCAGAGUUGCACAUGGAGAUAAACAAGCAUGGACUCCUUCAAAUAUAGGUGAGGACCUACAGACAAAGUGCUUGCUCUAGCUCUAUGGUCCAAAGGUCCAAGAUUUGAAGGAAAGUGAUAUGGAGUUAAAGUUGAUUUUGGAAAUGUAUAGAUGUGAAUUUACUGAUUCAAGGUUGCUCAGAUGAUGUGAUAUAUAUUAGUUUGUUUAGUGUUAUGAUGUCAUUGUUCUUAGAAGUUUAUAAGAUCUACAAGGAUGUCAUGGAAGCCAGAGACUCAGAAUAUAAGGCUUGGGCCCAUGUUCAAACUUUGAAAUCCUCUCUUGAUGAGUGCAACUUGGAAUUACGAGUCAAGACUGCAAAUGAGCUGAGGCCAUAUCCCAGCAAAGGCUUGCUGCAGUAGAAGCUGAGAUUGCUAAGCUGAGGCAAAAAUUAGAAGCUUCCAAAAGUUCAAGUGGCUUCUAUGAAUCUGCUUGUGUGCGCAGACAGCUGCAAUUGUACUAAGCUUAACAAGUUGUUGAUUGGUAUGUUGGUUUUUCUGGGAAGCUCUACCUAUUAGUUGGUUUUUCCCUUUCAACUUCAUUUAGGGAUGUAUGGGAUGGUGCUCUGGUUGGGUAUCGAUAUAUUGUCAAUCGGAAAGGCUUGGAAUGUAGCUCUGUUGUGAAGAAUGCCAUGAGUUGAUAUUAGAACGUUUGAGGUUGUUGAUCUUUUUGAGAUCAAACUUAACCUUCAAUUUCAAAGAUCUCAAAUAUAGCCCUUUGAUUGGAUGAUUAUAUCAAGCAUAUUUUUCAUAUGCUUUUUGAGGAUUAGAUUUAGGAGUUUUCCCAUUCCCUUGUUGAGUUUAGUUCUCCUGUAUAUUUCUAAGUUUACUAAGCCUGGUUGGUAUUCUGUGUGAAGACUUGAUGAAUUUUUUUUUUUUUCUCAUUUAGCAUCAUUAUGAUCUAUGGUGCUUUAUAUUA